rnacentral:misc_RNA from 1 species
AAGUCGUAACAAGGUAACCGUAGGUGAACCUGCGGUUGGAUCAUUAUCACGUGAAAAACGUAAUAUUAUUCUACCAACGCGAAUUUAUAAGGGUGACAAUUUUGACUAAAAUUACUUCGAAUUCAUUUUCGUUGCAAAUUUUGGUUGAUUUUUUCUUCCGCAAAUUAUUAAUUCUUUAUUGAAUUUUUAGUUUGAAAACCUUUGAUUAACAAUCAAAACAACCUUUUAUAACUUUUUAGUUACUGAAAUUAAAUUUGCGUUUUUUUCCAACUUUUUUGUUGUUAAAAAAUUCAAGUUUUUCAUUACGAAACAAAAUUGAACAACUCUUAGCAACGGAUAUCUAGGUUCUC